GUCAUCACAGUGAUUUGUCCAUUUUGACAUUGUGUUUAGAUUGUGUGUGAUUUCAAAUAAAUACGAUUAGUUUUGUUUCAGUCGGAUCAAUUGACGGUGACACGCGUCGUUUGAAUGAACGUCGUGUAUAUCGGCCAUUUUCCGAGUGACAUUAAUCAGAAAAGGGGCAAUAAACUAAAAAGAGAAUGCGAAAAGAGCUUUUUAACGCAUUUCUACGAAAGAAGAAAAAAAUCCCAACAGAUAAUCUACAACUGUGCGAAUAAUGCAUCCGAAUGGACGGCAUACCAAUCAAAAUGAACUAGUCUACACUUGCAACCGUUUCAACGAUCACCAUUUCAAACGGAAUGGACAUCUCAAAAGAUUUGUUACCCGAACGAGUGAAUUAUUCAAACGAUAACAUACCGAUGAAUCAAUCAUUUGAAAUGUGAAAAUCGUUGUAAAUCAUCCAGAAUCUGCACAUUCCAAUCGAGUAUAAAUAUGUGUAUCAUACGCUCAAAAUAUUCAAAUUACAAAUUCAAUUGAAACAAAACAGUUUUGGUUCUGUUUGCCGAACAAAAAUUCGCCCACUUUAAAUGGAAAUGAAACAAUAAAUUGUGACAGUGUUCGAGAAGGAGUUUUAUGAGAUCGAGAAAAAAAAUGAACAAAACAAUUGAAAUAAACACAAUUCAAUAGAAAAUCAAUCUAUACAUUCGUUUUAAUUGAAAUGUAAGCACACCGGGGAGCUAAGUGCCUAGGUGAA